GACGAACGCUGGCGGCAAGCUUAACACAUGCAAGUCGAACGCCGUAGCAAUACGGAGUGGCAGACGGGUGAGUAACACGUGGGAACGUGCCUUUCGGUUCGGAACAACUGAGGGAAACUUCAGCUAAAACCGGAUACGCCCUUCGGGGGAAAGUUUACGCCGAAAGAUCGGCCCGCGUCAGAUUAGGUAGUUGGCGGGGUAAUGGCCCACCAAGCCGAUGAUCUGUAGCUGUGCUGAGAGGAAGAUCAGCCACACUGGGACGGAGACACGGCCCAGACUCCUGCGGGAGGCAGCAGUGGGGAAUAUUGGACAAUGGGCGCAAGCCUGAUCCAGCUAUGCCGCGUGGAUGAAGAAGGCCUUCGGGUUGUAAAGUCCUUUCGGCGGGGAAGAUAAUGACGGUACCCGCAGAAGAAGCCCCGGCUAAUUUCGUGCCAGCCGCCGCAGUAAGAC
rnacentral:rRNA from 1 species